CCAUCGCCACAGCUGCCAUAGUGGUUAACGCUUAAGUAAGUAUACUGAUAUGAUUCAGACCAGGGUCAUCAUGUCACCUGUGGAGGCUCAGCAGCAGUCACACGAGGAUGUGCCCUUUUCUUUCUACAACUGGUCAGUCUUCAGCGCCUUUUGCUGUUUGCCAUUGGGUGCACUGGCACUGAAGUACUCAAAAAAGGCAGAAAAAUCCAUGGCAGGCGGAGAUGUUCUGGGUGCAAAGGGAGCGUCUGAAUCAGCACUGAUUUUCAACAUGCUGGCCCUGAUCUGUGGACUGAUCAUCUGGCCUUUUCUUGCGUAUUGCGUCUUGAAGAAGAGACCAAAUUGAUUUUUCUUUGUUGUUGUAAUGUUGUAGUGAAAACUGAUAGGCAAAUGCCUUUAGAAAGUAAUUCAUUACUGUUUUAGUACUAUUGCUUUGCUCUUUACGAUUCUAUUAUUGCUGUACGAUCUUCAUGGAAUUUUGUAUGUGUGAAUGAUACUGCCCUCGUUCUAUGUAUAUCCUGCAAAUAUAAAUACUUUGACUGUGCA